rnacentral:misc_RNA from 1 species
GAAAUGCGAUAAGUAUGUGAAUUGCAGAAUUCAGUGAAUCAUCGAAUCUUUGAACGCACCUUGCGCUCCUUGGUAUUCCUUGGAGCAUGCCUGUUUGAGUAUCAUGAAAUCUUCAAAGUAAAUCUUUUGUUAACUCAAUUGGUUUCUACUUUGGUAUUGGAGGUCUUUGCAGCUUCACACCUGCUCCUCUUUGUUCAUUAGCUGGAUCUCAGUGUUAUGCUUGGUUCCACUCGGCGUGAUAAGUUAUCUAUCGCUGAGGACACUGUAAAAGGUGGCCAAGGUAAAUGCAGAUGAACCGCUUCUAAUAGUCCAUUGACUUGGACAAUACUUUUAUGAUCUGAUCUCAAAUCAGGUAGGACUACCCGCUGAACUUAAGC